GCACAGAGGAUGUCUUGGUGAUCCUGUUCAUGAUUCCAAUUGUCUUGCUGUUCCCACUGUCUUCACUGUUCACUGAACCCAGAGUAGGCAAGGCAUGAGCUAAGAGCCUGGAAGGAGACCUGAGGAGCCAUAGGAACUGCAGAAUUAGAUCAGGAAUAUGGAAGACUAAAAUUCAAGAGUUUGGCAGCCAUGACUUCAUCUGGAAGGCAAACCAAACUUCAGAAAUUCAAAGGCAGAAGCAUUUAACUUUCAAAUGAGAUUACAUUACCAAAGGACAUGGUUAUAGCUUGGGCAGCAUUUACUGGAACUGAUCAUUAUGACACCCAUCCUCCUCUUCCUUACACCAAGUAGAGAGUAAGGAUGAAAAGAUCAACAGCAAAGAAAUUAAGAAAAUACAUUUUCUUCACAUACAUAACAAUAUAUACAUAAAGAAUCAAAUCAUAUUUAAAAUUUGCCAGUCUUUCAAUCCCCAUGGUAUUGUGGAGAAGCACUUUGAUGAACCUGACCUUGCUCUUCAAGUCUACACAAGAAUUAUGUCUGAGGCCCAUCUGAACAUCAGAAGAAAAUAGGCAGAUUCAUUCUAGAGAUGAGAAUUUACCUUGUAUCUGCCAUUUCUCCAUGGAACCAAUAAAACUAAAUCUGGAAUAACU
rnacentral:lncRNA from 1 species